CAAUAGCGUAUAUUAAUGUUGUUGCAGUUAAAAAGCUCGUAGUUGGAUUUCUGGUGGGAGCGGCCGGUCCGCCGUAAGGUGUGUACUUGGUUGUCUCCUGUCAUCCUUGUGGGAACUGCUCUGGCAUUAAGUUGUCGGGGUUAGGGAACACAUCGUUUACUGUGAAAAAAUUAGAGUGUUUAAAGCAGGCUUAUGCCGUUGAAUACAUUAGCAUGGAAUAAUAAGAUAGGACUUUGGCGUCUAUUUUGUUGGUUUGCACACCAAGGUAAUGGUUAAUAGGGAUAGUUGGGGGUAUUCGUAUUUAAUUGUCAGAGGUGAAAUUCUUGGAUUUAUGAAAGACGAACUUCUGCGAAAGCAUUUACCAAAGAUGUUUUCAUUAA
rnacentral:rRNA from 1 species